rnacentral:rRNA from 1 species
GCUAAACAUAUUACCGAAGCUGUGGAUUAUCCGUAAGGAUAAUGGUAGGAGAGCGUUCUAAACGUGUCGAAGCAUGAUCGUAAGGACAUGUGGAAUGUUUAGAAGUGAGAAUGCCGGUGUGAGUAGCGAAAGAUGGGUGAGAAUCCCAUCCACCGAUUGACUAAGGUUUCCAGAGGAAGGCUCGUCCGCUCUGGGUUAGUCGGGACCUAAGCCGAGGCCGAUAGGCGUAGGCGAUGGAUAACAGGUAGAUAUUCCUGUACCACCUAUGAUUGUUUGAACGAUGGGGGGACGCAGUAGGAUAGGCGAAGCGUGCUGUUGGAGUGCACGUCCAAGCAAUAAGACUGAGUGUUAGGCAAAUCCGGCACUCGUAAGGUUGAGUUGUGAUGGGGAGUUGGAUCAUGUAUCCGACGAGUCGUUGAUUUCACACUGCCAAGAAAAGCCUCUAGUUAGAAAAUAGGUGCCCGUACCGCAAACCGACACAGGUAGUCAAGAUGAGAAUUCUAAGGUGAGCGAGCGAACUCUCGUUAAGGAACUCGGCAAAAUGACCCCGUAACUUCGGGAGAAGGGGUGCUUUUUAGGGUGCAAGCCUUGAAGAGCCGCAGUGAAUAGGCCCAAGCGACUGUUUAUCAAAAACACAGGUCUCUGCUAAACCGUAAGGUGAUGUAUAGGGGCUGACGCCUGCCCGGUGCUGGAAGGUUAAGAGGAGUGGUUAGCUUCUGCGAAGCUACGAAUCGAAGCCCCAGUAAACGGCGGCCGUAACUAUAACGGUCCUAAGGUAGCGAAAUUCCUUGUCGGGUAAGUUCCGACCCGCACGAAAGGCGUAACGAUUUGGGCACUGUCUCAACGAGAGACUCGGUGAAAUCAUAGUACCUGUGAAGAUGCAGGUUACCCGCGACAGGACGGAAAGACCCCGUGGAGCUUUACUGUAGCCUGAUAUUGAAAUUUGGCACAGCUUGUACAGGAUAGGUAGGAGCCUUUGAAACGUGAGCGCUAGCUUACGUGGAGGCGCUGGUGGGAUACUACCCUGGCUGUGUUGACUUUCUAACCCGCACCAUUUGAUCAUGGUGGGAGACAGUGUCAGGCGGGCAGUUUGACUGGGGCGGUCGCCUCCUAAAGAGUAACGGAGGCGCUCAAAGGUUCCCUCAGAAUGGUUGGAAAUCAUUCGCAGAGUGUAAAGGCACAAGGGAGCUUGACUGCGAGACCUACAAGUCGAGCAGGGUCGAAAGACGGACUUAGUGAUCCGGUGGUUCCGCAUGGAAGGGCCAUCGCUCAACGGAUAAAAGCUACCCCGGGGAUAACAGGCUUAUCUCCCCCAAGAGUUCACAUCGACGGGGAGGUUUGGCACCUCGAUGUCGGCUCAUCGCAUCCUGGGGCUGUAGUCGGUCCCAAGGGUUGGGCUGUUCGCCCAUUAAAGCGGUACGCGAGCUGGGUUCAGAACGUCGUGAGACAGUUCGGUCCCUAUCCGUCGUGGGCGUAGGAAAUUUGAGAGGAGCUGUCCUUAGUACGAGAGGACCGGGAUGGACAUACCUCUGGUGUACCAGUUGUCGCGCCAGCGGCAUAGCUGGGUAGCUAUGUAUGGACGGGAUAAGUGCUGAAAGCAUCUAAGCAUGAAGCCCCCCUCAAGAUGAGAUUUCCCAACUUCGGUUAUAAGAUCCCUCAAAGAUGAUGAGGUUAAUAGGUUCGGGGUGUAAGCGCAGUAAUGUGUGUAGCUGACGAAUACUAAUCGAUCGAAGACUUAAUCAAAUUUUA